UUUGAGGAUUUGGAUGUAACUUAGAAUAUCCUGUACUGCAGAUCCAAGAGCAACAGGAACGGAGGCGUCUAGAGAGGGAUGAGAGGGAGCGUCACGAGGCCCGGCUGGAGGCCGACAUGAAGAAGCACCAGCCCUGGGCCGAGGAGGUGGAGGAGCCCCACUCAGAGACAGUACUGGAAACCUUAUCGCUGACCUCAACCAGAUGCACAAAGUGAAUGAGGAGGCCUACAUCAACCCGGAGCAGUGGCAGAGGAGAGCCACGGCUGCCAGGUCGGCCCGCCAGGCGGAGCUCCCUGACUCCAAUGACAGGCUCUCUGUCUCCGGUACUGUAGCAGAGUGCAGUAGCCAUGACACUAGCGACAGGCUCUCUGGUGUUACCCAUGCCCAAACUCCCCAGUUUGCCCGAGGCAAUGUGUUUCCAACCAGCCCAGCCAACAACAGCUCCACGAGCAGGACAAGUACAAAGCUUACCUCAA